rnacentral:misc_RNA from 1 species
CUGCAAUCAAUGAAUAUGCAUUGUGAUGACCCAUUUCCUUUCACAUUGGAUAUGAACAAAAAUUCUUUUGUUAAGAUAAGGAGCCUUUUGUCUGUUUCCUAAACCACCCAUAAUUGAUAACUGCUUCAGCAAAAGGUCAAGAAUCUUUGCAAUUUAGACAUCACUGCUUUAUGUAGGUGGCCCAUGGCUAGUCUCUAGACAUUGG